AUGUGCUGCCAAAGUGAGCACUGACAUCUGCAUUAAUGUGGAAGGAAUUAUCAUUAGCUGUGAGUCCCAAAUGCCAUAUAUCUACAGGUUUGGGAAGUCUCUGAACAGUCCAAUUCUGCAAGAGAAUCAAACAACUGUCUCCAGGGGAGACAAAUUCUGAAGCAUCCCUGGAGCUCAGUGUACUUCCUUUUUAUCUUUUUCCUCCUUGAACUGUGUGCAAGUCUGAGAUGCCCAGUGGAAGUGACUGGCCUGGACCACUUCUGUUUUAAGUACAGCCAGCUCUGGGCAGUGGCCAGCUAAUUCCAAGUCAAAAGUCAAAGUGGAGGGAAGCUGCUGGAAGGCAUUUUCUCUUCAUGAAGGAGAAAUGAGCUGAGACAGAAACAGAAGAGACCACAGAAUAAAGGCUCCAACACCCGAGAGGGUGACCUGCCAAUCUCUAUGCUCAUUAACAGUUCUGAUGGUUUUGCUGGAAGCCAGCCAAAUGCCCAUGCCAUGGCAGAGCCCAUCUUCCACCUGCUUGGCCUGGACUUGGCCAAUGCCCCAGAGGGAGGCAAAGGCUACCCAUUGCUGCCCACCAGGAAGUGAUCUGCCUUUGUGGAAUUUUCUUCCCACAAUUCUCAUAUGCCUUUUAAAAUAUAAGC